AUGGCGCUGUUGCAUCCAUCUGCAUUGCUUCCUACUAGAAAGCAGCCUUCUACUCACCUUCUCAUGCCUUAUGUAAGAGCACUUGUUUUUUGUAUUUCUUGCUGUAAAGCUGUAAUUCCAACUUUUUCUUUUCUUUGCAUAGUUAGAUUCACAGAUAUUACAGACUGUUUAAUCACACAUUUCAUUUCCCUACAAAUGAAAGCUUCCAAAUGCUAAUACUUCAUAAAAGCACUAGCAACUACCUUUAAAAGUUAGCCCUUCAUUUUUAUGCUUAUUUUUAUUUUUCCAAUCUAUAUGAUAUGAUAAAAUAUUUGGAAUAGCUACAAGGUGCACACCGAACCAAAAAACAGCUACUAUUUUAACUGAGCCUGAGAAAUAGACUUCGGAGGUGUCAGAAUCUCAAAAAGUCACCUGUCAAUCAGUUCACCUCUGCGUGUAUCUCCUUGAUCCAAGCAGAUACAGCUCCCCCAGUACUACACUUCCCAAAGAUUUCUCCCCCACCUGUCAUUACUGACAAGCCAUUGUUCUGAAUUCAGCAACCAAUGCAGCAAUUCCCAUACACAUAAAGUCUGACAGUCAUUAAUAUACAUGAGUUCUACAAUUUAUCCUCCAGUUGACCUAAAUACAUAUCCACCUGUUACAUAUUGAGAAUGUGACAGUCUCAUUCCCUAGGACAGUUUUGAGGAAUUAAGCAAGUUCAGUCACUCACAACUGCAAAUUAUUUUCAUAACUGUACAAUGGAGACAGUCACAGGAGACAUCAGUUGUCACACUCCUACUCUACUGUGGGGAUUUAAAGAAUGAGGAAUUACUGGAAGGGGUAUCGUAACACAGUAUCAGCAAGAAACUAGAGGCUGAAACUGUAAUUGGAGCUUAAGUCUUAUUCAUUUUCUAGAGUAAGGAUUCAUCUUCCUACGGUAUUGGGUCCUAUUUUCCCCCAAAACCACCUUACAGUCUAACUGCACUCUCAUCACUGCCUACCUUUCAUCUUCUACCCUUACAACACUGUGCAAAAAAACCAAUGAAAUAAGAAAGCAAAAUCAUACAGUUAUGGAACUAAUAUCAUUGGGUAUUUUUAGUAUUCCAGGACCACAUUUUUAACCUGGGUAGCUUAAGUAGCAGCUGAAUGUCCUAAUCUUUGUAAAAAGCUAUUAAGUAGCAUGGCACCUGGAAAAUCUGCAAUGCAAGAUGUAAACCCUUAUCUACCAACAAUGGGGCUGACUGACAUAAUUGGCAUCUGACUUUAUAGUAGUUGGAUGAAGCAAAAAUGAACAUGCAGCUCCUCCAGCUCUAGUCACCUUCACAACAUCACCCAGAUUACAAGAAAAUAUGAAAUUUUUUUUUCUUCUACCUCUGUAACAAUUUGUGGACAUCAUCAACAACAACAACAAAAAAACCUACUCAGAAGUAUGAAAUUCAGUAUUCUCACUUAACAGAUAGAAAAACAGAGACAAAGGCAAAAUCACUUUUUCAAGAUUAUCCAGCAAGUAAACAGCAGAGUAUAAUCACAAUUCUAAGCCUUCUGGUUUAUAAUCCUAUAACCCUCUUUCCAAAAGUCUGUAUGUGGUACCAACUAAGCUGUAUAAAUGAUGGCCAUAAACACUGCAUUCUUUUGAACCCCCCACCCCAGGUAUCACAAACCAACCAUUCAGAUGAUGACACAUGAAUAAUCUAUAGUGCUAUCAAACAAUUGAUAUUGCUUCAAAUUUUAAGUUUCUGACUAGCAGUAAAUUCAAUGACUUUAAUUGAAAAAAUACUUUCUCCUAAUUAUGAAUUGUUGAGAUAGGCUGCUGAGUCUGUAUUCUACAAUAACCUGAGCUAAAGCUUUGAGUUAAAAGAGAAAACAUAAGCAUAGUGUUUUGUGCCCCUCUCUCCAGUACAGUAAUUGUAUCUGUAAAUUUCAUUCCCCGUUGCAAAGAGGAAUUACAAUUGGAUUUAACAGUUACCAAGCUGAUACGAGUAAAUCCACCCUUGAAUUCCACACGGAACUACACUGUGAUUCAAACUCAUGAUCAAUUGCUGUUCCGCUGUUCCUAGCCCUGACAAUUCAAACUUGCAGAUCUCCCUCUUCAACAUUUGAUAUUGCUCAGUCUGAAACCCAGCACAAUUUGUUGUAUAAUAAAUAUACAGAUGUUAUAAUUAAGAAAUAUACA
rnacentral:lncRNA from 1 species